rnacentral:rRNA from 1 species
AGUAAAAGUCGUAACAAGGUUUUCGUAGGUGAACCUGCGGAAGGAUCAUUAAUGAAUUCGGGCGCUCGACUCUGAAAUAUUGAGAUCGGCCCCAUUUCUUAAUCCACUUCACACUUGUGCACAUUUUUCCUACUUUCCUUCGGGAGAGCUUGAAAAGCUCUUGUGAUUUUAAUCAAGUCCAGGAUGUGAAUCCAAUUUGAAUAAGUUGUAAAACAACUACAAACGGUGGAUCUCUUGGCUCUCGUAUCGAUGAAGAACGCAGCGAAACGCGAAAUGUAAUGUGAAUUGCAGAAUUCAGUGAAUCAUCGAAUCUUUGAACGCAUCUUGCACUCUCGAAUCACUAUCGAGAGUAUGCCUGUUUGAGUGUCGCGAAACUCUCAACCCCGCCUCAUGCUUUAUUGCGUGUGGGUAGCUUGGGCUUGGAUCAUGAUCUUUGCAGUAAUGCGCUAGCAGAACUGCUGGAUUGAAAUACAACAAGCUGAAUCUAUAUACUUGCGGCUUGACCUGUCGUUGUAAGCACACAAAUGCAUUCGAUGGGGACGCGAGAAAAUGGAAUGAGCUUUCCAAAUGUGUUACACUUUGCAGCUUCUAUUAACUUAGAGCUCUUAGUGCAUUCUGACCUCAAAUCAGGUAGGAUUACCCGCUGAACUUAAGCAUAUCAAUAAGCGGAGGA